GGCGUGCCUUUCGCGCUCUCUCGGCCUUAGCGCCAUCUUCUGAGAAGCCUCCUCGCAAUGAGAGCGAAGUGGAGGAAGAAGCGAAUGCGCAGGCUGAAGCGCAAAAGAAGAAAGAUGAGACAGAGGUCCAAGUGAACUUGUACACCCGUGGAAGCCACAGGAGCAGAAGCAAGGAAAGCCAGAGGCCAGGGACACUGUUAGAUAAUGUUGGACUGCAUGUCUACUGUCCAGAACUUGUCUCAGUGGAUUUGGAACAUCUACCGCCAUUCUGAUCGCCUCGACCACUUUUAAGAGACCCAUCUUGCUCAUAUCAAAACGGGCCCUUUUGGUCCUUUGCCCUGGACCUGUGAUAUGGACUAGUUCUGUUCUCAGUUGUGGCUGAAUGUAACACGUGUACAAUAAACCAUCUCUUCUGCUGUUUUAGCUGAAGGAAAAAAAUC